rnacentral:rRNA from 1 species
ACACCGGCAGCUCUAGUGGUAGCAAUUUUUAUUGGGCCUAAAGCGUCCGUAGCCGGUUUAAUAAGUCUCUGGUGAAAUCCUGUAGCUUGACUGUGGGAAUUGCUGGAGAUACUAUUAGACUUGAGACCGGGAGAGGUUGGAGGUACUCCCAGGGUAGCGGUGAAAUUCUGUAAUCCUGGGAGGACCGCCUGUUGCGAAUGCGUCUAACUGGAACGGUUCUGACGGUGAGGGACGAAAGUUAGGGGCGCGAACCGGAUUAGAUACCCGGGUAGUCCUAACUGUAAACGAUGCGGACUUGGUGUUGGGGUGGCUUUGAGCUGUCCCAGUGCCGAAGGGAAGCUGUUAAGUCCGCCGCCUGGGAAGUACGGUCGCAGGACUGAAACUUAAAGGAAUUGACGGGG